GACGAACGCUGGCGGCGUGCUUAACACAUGCAAGUCGAACGGAAAGGCCCUGCUUUUGUGGGGUGCUCGAGUGGCGAACGGGUGAGUAACACGUGAGUAACCUGCCCUUGACUUUGGGAUAACUUCAGGAUACUGGGGCUAAUACCGGAUAGGAGCUCCUGCUGCAUGGUGGGGGUUGGAAAGUUUCGGCGGUUGGGGAUGGACUCGCGGCUUAUCAGCUUGUUGGUGGGGUAGUGGCUUACCAAGGCUUUGACGGGUAGCCGGCCUGAGAGGGUGACCGGCCACAUUGGGACUGAGAUACGGCCCAGACUCCUACGGGAGGCAGCAGUGGGGAAUAUUGCACAAUGGUCGGAAGCCUGAUGCAGCAACGCCGCGUGCGGAAUGACGGCCUUCGGGUUGUAAACCGCUUUCGCCUGUGACGAAGCGUGAGUGACGGUAAUGGGUAAAGAAGCACCGGCUAACUACGUG
rnacentral:rRNA from 1 species